rnacentral:rRNA from 1 species
UGGGGAAUAUUGCACAAUGGGCGCAAGCCUGAUGCAGCCAUGCCGCGUGUGUGAAGAAGGCCUUCGGGUUGUAAAGCACUUUCAGCGAGGAGGAAGGUGGUGAACUUAAUACGUUCAUCAAUUGACGUUACUCGCAGAAGAAGCACCGGCUAACUCCGUGCCAGCAGCCGCGGUAAUACGGAGGGUGCAAGCGUUAAUCGGAAUUACUGGGCGUAAAGCGCACGCAGGCGGUUUGUUAAGUCAGAUGUUGAAAUCCCCGGGCUCAACCUGGGAACUGCAUUUGAAACUGGCAAGCUAGAGUCUCGUAGAGGGGGGUAGAAUUCCAGGUGUAGCGGUGAAAUGCGUAGAGAUCUGGAGGAAUACCGGUGGCGAAGGCAGCCCCCUGGACGAAGACUGACGCUCAGGUGCGAAAGCGUGGGGAGCAAACAGGAUUAGAUACCCCCGGUAGUCCACGCUGUAAACGGAUGUCGAUUUUGGAGGUUGUGCCCUUGAGGCGUGGCUUCCGGAGCUAACGCGUUAAAUCGAUCCGCCUGGGGAGUACGGCCGCAAGGUUAAAAC